AGCAAUGUCAACAUCAUGGGUCGAUGGGUAUUUCGUGUUGACCAUGUAUCAGACAACAAUGGUCGGUUUUAUCCAACUGGCUAUCAGGACUCUCAGAACCCCUGUCAAAGUAACGCAAACUUAACAGCUCUGUACUUGCAGUAUCCCCUUUUGUACUUUGGACGCGAAUACAAUAACAUAUAUGUCAGCAAUAAUGGACUUUUGACAUUCAAACCAUUUUAUGAAAGACUCCCCAAGGCUUUUCCUGCCAACUCUACUGAAGACAUUGUAGCUCCACUCUGGGCAAAGUUUGACAUUAGUAUCAAUGGAAGCAUCUCUUAUUGCAUUGUAACUCAAGGCCACAUUCUGGACCGGGCAAAAAAUGAUAUUAAACAGUAUUUCCCUCAGUUUGGGUUCUCAGUAUAUACAGUUUUCAUUGCUACGUGGCAUAGGGUGCCCUACUUGAACAACCCCACUACGGUAUGUAGAUUGAAUGAUCAUUUUAAUCUUUUUUAAACCUACAUUUAAUGUAAAUUUAGGUAGAGAUAGAAAUUAAGCAAUACAUUCUUGAUAAUAUCAGAUUUAUUAAAUGGAUUAAAUAUAUUUACCUUGAAUGAGUUUUGUCUAUAGACAAAUCAUAGCUGUGUUUUUCAUUGAAACUUAAUGUUUUUACUGGACUUUACCUAGGAAUCCUCCUUCC